ensembl:lncRNA
GGUGUAGAAGCACGGUGGCUAGGAAAAACUCCCUAGAAAGGCCAAAACCUAGGAAGAAACCUAGAGAGGAACCAGGCUAUGUGGGGUGGCCAGUCCUCUUCUGGCUGUGCCGGGUGGAGAUUAUAACAGAACAUGGCCAAGAUGUUCAAAUGUUCAUAAAUGACCAGCAUGGUCGAAUAAUAAUAAGGCAGAACAGUUGAAACUGGAGCAGCAGCACAGUCAGGUGGACUGGGGACAGCAAGGAGUCAUCAUGUCAGGUAGUGCUGGGGCAUGGUCCUAGGGCUCAGGUCCUCCGAGAGAGAGAAAGAAAGAGAGAAGGAGAGAAUUAGAGAACGCACACUUAGAUUCACACAGGACACCGAAUAGGACAGGAGAAGUACUCCAGAUAUAACAAACUGACCCCAGCC